GAUGAACGCUAGCGGCAGGCCUAACACAUGCAAGUCGAGGGGUAGAGGAAGCUUGCUUCCUUGAGACCGGCGCACGGGUGCGUAACGCGUAUGCAAUCUACCUUUUACAGAGGGAUAGCCAAGAGAAAUUUGGAUUAAUACCUCAUAGUAUCUUUGCCUGGCAUCGGGUGAUUAUUAAAGUUCCUACGGUAAAAGAUGAGCAUGCGUCUGAUUAGCUAGAUGGUAAGGUAACGGCUUACCAUGGCUAGGUUAGGUAGGGGUCCUGAGGGGGAAGUUUUCCACACUGGUAAUGAGAUACGGACCAUGCUGCUACGGGAGGCGGCAGUGAGUAAUAUUGGACAGUGGGAGCAAGCUUGAUCCAGCCAUGCCGCGGGCAGGAAGACGCAUCUAUGGUGUGUAAACUGCUUUUGUAAGGGAAGAAACACUCCCUCGUGAGGGAGCUUGACGGUACCGUAAGAAUAAGGAUCGGCUAACUCCGUGCCAGCCGCCGCCGUAAGAC
rnacentral:rRNA from 1 species